CUCCUUUGUCCAGAGAUGUCAAAGUGCUCCAACCUCUGAACAAACUCAGGAAGAUGUGAAGAAGACGUGGAAAACUGAGACAGUAUUUGAGUUCACCAAUUCACUCACUUACUGAGUGAACAGGCCUGAAAGCAUUUAGGGCUUACCUAUGUCCUUAGGUAAGAUAGUAGCAAUAACUACUUCAUAUGAAACAUAGUAUAUCCUACUCUUUUGAUGAACACACAUUUAAUAGAUAUUCUUGUUUUAGAUACCUUUCUAAAUCUAUUUGUUGUAAUAAAUAUUGACUUAAAGCUUUAUAAUGACUUAUAACUUUAUCUCCUGCAGAUUCUCUGGGAAGUAUCAGUGUAUCAGUUCUUCCAAUUGUACAGACAAACAAACUACUAAGGGAUAUGUGGCCGAUUUACAGAGGAGACAGAGUAAAGCCAGAGUGUUUUUAGAACAGAAAGCCUAAUUCUUCUGUUUCUGCUGAAUCUUUUAAUAGUUACACUUUUUCACAUGGAAAAGAAGUAUGCUCUCUCAAGUCCUAGAAAGUUUUCCUAUUGGUUUAAAUAAGAUGAAGACAAGCCUGAAAUAAUACAUUAAAUUGAUAUUUUCUACCAAUUCCUGAAAAGUCUUAGUUUCAAGUGCUGUUGAGAUAUUUUAUUUUAUUUUAUUUUAUUUUUGUGCUGGUUUCUUGUUGCUUUUUUUCACCAGCAAAAAAAACUUCUGAAAACAAAAGCCUUCAGCAGUGUGCUUACUUUGAUAAAACACUUGCUGGGAAAUCUUGUUCACAUUACAGAAUGCAGUUGUUAGUCAAAUAUAGAGGAAGUUCCAUAAAAGCUGAUGAUUGAAACUCUCAACUGGGAGAGGGGAGCUGUGUUCAAGUGUCUGUCUGAUGACAGGUUACAUAGUUAUCCAGACUAAAAACUUCAGCAAAGAUUCAGGAGACAUGCAUGCGGUGAUAGUCGCUGUUUCUGUAUGGACCAUAAUGCAACACCAGUUUGAGAUCUCUUCUCUGUUUUUCUCCCUCUUAACUCCAAUUUCUCAUUCAAACUCACUGUCUUUGAGAAAGAGAGGCACUUCAGAAGUUCAUCAGUUCUACCUACUAAGAAAAUAAUGAAUCGCUCUCUGAUUGUGUCUAUUUUUCUCAAUUGACUACUGGAAAGCCUGAGUACUUAGCCUAAAUCAUUACAGAGGUAACCUUUUAUGAGUUGUGAAUCGCACCCUGGUCUCUUAAGAUUCUUGUUUUCUUCUAAUUCUUGACAUUUUUUGCAGAAAAGUAAAAUAGUUUUCUUCCCAGCUCUGUCUCCAUGGAGGUUAUUGGUAGAUGGAAAUGAGACUAUUCCUUUUUAAGUCAUUACUGAACAAAUAAUAUUGAGAUCAAGUCAGCAUUUUGCAAAAACUGUGACAGCGGUGUCAUCACUCUGUUCUCUAUCAAAUCCCUCCCCAAAUCCCUACAGCUGCUUUGGUACUUAUUGGUUCCUGUUUGCUGUAAUGGGGGAAGCUGUGCACUUUGACAACAGAAACUCACAGGUGUUGAUGUCAAGAAUAGAAAUGAAGGUCAUUGCUCCUAUCCAGCAGUAAGUAUUUUGGAAGAACAGACUAAGGAAGGAGCUAAUGAUACUCCUGGCCUAAAAGAAGAUCAAGUCCUUUUUCAAUGAAUAAUUUGACCUGAAUUAAAUCCUUCGUUGUUAUAAUGUGGCCACAAAAGUAAGCAGAACUGUCCCUAUUUAUCCUAACUAGGGAAUAAGCCCUUUGUCUCAUGCUUUUAUUAAAUAUGCUUUGAAAUAUUAAUUAUUAUUAUUAUUUACUAUUAUUUAAUAUUCACUAUUAUUUCGAUAAAAGGAAAUAUUUAGGCCUGAUGACCUAUCCUGAGCAAAGUAUUGCAGCACGUAGAUUAGGACCAUCCUACAAAGAGCAUGGCCAGAGGAGCCUGUGCCUGAAAGAAGCCCAUGAGUCAUCAGUGCACCACCACAAGCUGCCUUGACCCUGAACUGGUGGAAUUCAACCACAGAACAGUUAAUUUUCCCGUCCUAGGGUGUACAGUAAACUAGCCAUGAAUUAGAAACCUUUCAGCCUCCACCCUACAUUUGUCCAUGUCCAUGGAGUUGUUUGUGUUUGCUUUUUUCCCAAGGUAGUUUCUUGGCAGCCAGUUCCUCUUUCUCCCUGUAAGGUGCCUCCACCCUCCUAAAUUACUUACUUCCCUGCUCACUUUUGGGUCCUCUCCCUUGAGCACCCACAGCACAUAAACAUUAGUUCAGUCCCAGCUGUCUUUGGGAUGCAGAUACUUCCCUCUGAAAUAAAAACUAGUUGUAGUGUUUGGGUUUGUUUGUUCCAAAAACACACUCAUACAGGACUGUAAAAAUGAUUUUGUAAGUUUAUCUCCCUUUUCUCCAUAUAGUCCUCUGACAUCCUCCUAACAGGUUUUACACCCUUAGGGACAUGAUUUAGUGGGCAUGGUGAUGGUGGGUUGGACUAGACGAUCUUAAUGGUCUUUUCCAACCUCAAUGAUUCCAUAAUUAAAAAAAAUAAUAAUUACAAACCGUGCACAUCAUUGCUUUGCAAUUCCUGGCAUAGGAGCCUGAGAUAAUAAAUUUUGUCCUAGAGACUGAACAUCCUGAAGCCUUCUGAGGCUUCCAGUUCCCUGAAGAUAGAGUCCUUUGCACUUCGGUUUUAAGAUGCUGAGUCUUCAGUGACAGCAGUCAAAAGCAUUCUUGUCCCUUGCUUUUCUCUCCAGCUCUGAGCUGCUGCAGCUGUAUUGGUACGGCUGCCUGAGGUGAUGCAAUGGAAACUGGGCUGUGGGGCUCACGCAGCUUAAAAAAACAUCAGGAUUCUCAACCACUGUAUAGUUUUCUCAAAUACAUGUAGAAGUUAUUAGGUAAAUACACAAAGCCAUGAAUAUCAAUUGCAGAAAUCAGAAGGGAGAAAAAAAAACCCUCUUUUAUUUUUCCUAUUAAUCAGAGUGAAGAAUACGCAUUCAUUUCUAAUAAAAUUCAUUAAAGGAAUAUUCUGUGUCUACAUGAAAUAUUCUUCCCUUUGUGUCCAGAAUGUGCCAAGGACAGCUAAGAACAUGAGAAUCAUUUCUAGAAAGGCCUCUUUAUGCACAGCUUUUACUUGCGCACUUCAUGUGAAGAGCUCAAAGUAUAUUAUGGAUUUAGCCAAACUGAUGGUGGUCUCCAAAGGGUAAGAAGUAUUCUCCUACUGGUGAGUCAGGUGGCACGUCAACAGGUGAAACAUCAUGCUCAAGGUCAGUAAAUGAGCCCGUGGCAAAGCUAGAAGAGAAGCAGUAGAGGUGAAUUAAAUAGGGACUGACGGCAGCCAGCUGCCUUGCUGCAGCUGUGCUCGGGGAGCAUUGAUCUUAUUUUGUUGAUGCAAGUGAACUUCUCCAGA